ensembl:ncRNA R13H8.3 ncRNA
GUGAAUAGUGUGGGGGAGAACACGAGUUAGUGUAGUUUGAUUUUUUUUUUCGGAAAUGGGGGGGGGGGGGGGGGCUAAUCUGAUUAACUUGUAAGCUAGUUGCUCAAAAAAUGAGCUCUUUUUGCAUCAAAAGCCCAACUAGGCGGAGCU